rnacentral:lncRNA from 1 species
UACUCGUAGCCCGUUGGGAUGUGCUGUCAGCAUGCCGGUUCGGUAUCUCAUUCGUAGCACCAAUAGUAGUCUUUUUCGCCCGAUGUUGAGGCAUUCUGACCUAUAUGCAUCAAAUCACAGCAAAUUCAUAAAAAGAAAGCUCACCGAAUUAAAAUAUUUUUUAUAAGAAUAAUCAUCACAUUCUUUACAUCUAACGUCCCAAUGUCCCUAGUGUCUACCCACCUAUACUCAUAUCGGGUAUGAUUCUGUCUUAGAUUCUAUCCAACCUGGCUUUGAUACCACUUAAGAUGUCACGCCCCCUUCCCGAGAUCGCGGGCCGGGGGUCGCGCCAACCGCCGCACACCUGUAGGAAACUCUCCCCACGAGCAUGCAAGGCAUCUAAACCAAACACCUCAAUUAUGCAAUUCUAAAAUAAUUUAACUGAAUAAAUGCAAUCUUAUUCCAUUGACUAACUCAAGUCAUAAGGUCUCACAAGUCUAAAUACGCAGCGGAAUAAUCAUUUACCAACAUGCAGAAACCUAGUUCUUAAAAUAACAAAAGUCCACCAAUCAUAAUAAAUGUCCAUAAUAACAAAUCAACUUAAAUAACCCUAAUCUAAGAUAACUUGUGCCACAAUCCUUCUAGUCGCUCUCUCCAAUUUGAAUCCCCAAUAGAUUAGUUCUCGAAAUCUGUAAAACAACAAGAGAUAAUAUAAUGAGCU